UACAGAGGUCCAAGCGUUGUUCGGAUUCACUGGGCGUAAAGGGUGCGUAGGUGGCCAGGUUAAGUUUGAUGUGAAAGCUCGGAGCUUAACUCCGAAAUGGCAUUGAAUACUAUCUGGCUUGAGGGUCGGAGGGGAUGACUGGGAAUUCUCGGGUGAUAGGCAGUGGAAAUGACGUAGAUAUCGAGAGGAACACCAGUGGCGAAGGCGAGUCUCGUGGACGACACCUGACACUGAGGCACG
rnacentral:rRNA from 1 species